AUGGAGGCUGGUGACAUAGCUCAGCAGCAGAGCUUUUGUGUAGGAUAUACAAUUCCCAGCACAACACACACGCACACACGCACGCACACACACACACACAGAAAUAGAAAAUACAGGAUUCCACUUCAGACUAAAGUUGAAAACAGGACUAAUGGCAUCCAUCAUUUAACAGUACUUCAGAGUCCCUCAAUCUUAAAAGAUGCUAAUGCUUCUAAGGUCUCUGAAGAAAGAGAAUGCAGAACUAGGCUAGGAACACAAGGACAGGAUGAUAAAGCCACUGUCACAGCUACCACUGUCAUUGCUAUCUUCCCAGUGACUGGAGACCACGCAGGGAACCGUGCACCUAGAAUUAAAACUGCAGGCUUUAGGGCAGAGGAAAAAGGCAUGAGAGCACGAGGGCAGAUGGAUCCCGGGUGUUGUAAAGGGCUCGCCCACAUUAUCUGCUCACCUUGGAGACGACUUAGUGCGUUUUUGGCCAAGGGCAACAUCGCGGAGACAAGGAUGGAACUGCGGUGA
rnacentral:lncRNA from 1 species